rnacentral:rRNA from 1 species
UACGUAGGGUGCAAGCGUUGAUCGGAAUUACUGGGCGUAAAGCGUGCGCAGGCGGUUUUGUAAGUCUGUCGUGAAAUCCCCGGGCUCAACCUGGGAAUUGCGAUGGAGACUGCAAGGCUAGAAUCUGGCAGAGGGGGGUAGAAUUCCACGUGUAGCAGUGAAAUGCGUAGAGAUGUGGAGGAACACCGAUGGCGAAGGCAGCCCCCUGGGUCAAGAUUGACGCUCAUGCACGAAAGCGUGGGGAGCAAACAGG